GGCAGCGCAGUGGUUAGUAUGACCGCCUGCCACGCAGAAGGUCCCGGGUUCAAUUCCCGGGUCA